rnacentral:tRNA from 1 species
GUUUCAGUAGUUUAUUCAAAACAUUGGUCUUGUAAACCAAAAUAGAGAAAAUUUCUCCUCAGACU